GUCCUUGUGCGCCGAAUCGUCACCGUAUGGUGUGCUUGGCUGGCAACUCGCCAGCCUAGGCCGCAAGGGCGACC
rnacentral:ncRNA from 1 species